rnacentral:rRNA from 1 species
AUUGAACGCUAGCGGGAUGCUUUACACAUGCAAGUCGAACGGCAGCGCGGACUUCGGUCUGGCGGCGAGUGGCGAACGGGUGAGUAAUUUAUCGGAACGUGCCCAGUAUCGGGGGAUAACUACGCGAAAGCGUAGCUAAUACCGCAUACGCCCUACGGUGGAAAGCAGGGGAUCGUAAGACCUUGCACUAUUGGAGCGGCCGAUAUCGGAUUAGCUAGUUGGUGAGGUAACGGCUCACCAAGGCGACGAUCCGUAGCUGGUUUGAGAGGACGACCAGCCACACUGGGACUGAGACACGGCCCAGACUCCUACGGGAGGCAGCAGUGGGGAAUUUUGGACAAUGGGGGCAACCCUGAUCCAGCCAUCCCGCGUGUGCGAUGAAGGCCUUCGGGUUGUAAAGCACUUUUGGCAGGAAAGAAACGUAGCGGGCUAAUACCCCGUGGAACUGACGGUACCUGCAGAAUAAGCACCGGCUAACUACGUG